rnacentral:rRNA from 1 species
CCUACGGGUGGCAGCAGUGGGGAAUAUUGGGCAAUGGGCGCAAGCCUGACCCAGCAACGCCGCGUGAAGGAAGAAGGCCUUCGGGUUGUAAACUUCUUUUCUCAGGGACGAAGCAAGUGACGGUACCUGAGGAAUAAGCCACGGCUAACUACGUGCCAGCAGCCGCGGUAAUACGUAGGGGGCAAGCGUUAUCCGGAUUUACUGGGUGUAAAGGGCGAGGAGGCGGGACUGCAAGUCAGAUGUGAAAACCACGGGCUCAACCUGUGGCCUGCAUUUGAAACUGUAGUUCUUGAGUGCUGGAGAGGCAGACGGAAUUCCUAGUGUAGCGGUGAAAUGCGUAGAUAUUAGGAGGAACACCAGUGGCGAAGGCGGUCUGCUGGACAGCAACUGACGCUGAGGCGCGAAAGCGUGGGGAGCAAACAGGAUUAGAUACCCGUGUAGUC